GUUUGUUGAUGUAAGAGACGUUGCACAUGCACACAUUCAAGCUUUCGAAUCUCCUUCCGCUAACCGCAGAUAUUGUCUUGUUCACAAAGUCGUGCAUUCUCACGAUGCUUUGAAGAUCUUGCGAGAGCUAUAUCCUGCUCUACACCUUCCUGGGAAAUGUGAAGAUGAAGAGCCUUCCGUGCCAACCUAUAACAUAUCAAAUGAGAAAGCCAGAAGUCUGGGCAUCAGCUUCACUCCUUUGGAGGUGAGUUUUAAGGACACUGUGGAGAGCUUGAAAGAGAAGGGUUUCUUCAAGGACUGAUGCUACAACAGGCGACUAAAAGAAUGAAAACUAUGCCAAAGUCGAUUAGAUGGGCAUUUUCUGCCGCAACACACUUAUAUCGGAGUUUCCUUCGGGGCGAUCUGAAGUUUUCAAAUUUCUCCAGAAUUUCUACGAUGCCACCUGAAGCUUGCGGAUGCAGCUAUUGUCAUUGUCAGACGAAUGUUUGACUGUUAUCUGUAUUGAGUAGCUUGAAAUCCAGCGGCAAUCCAAGAAGUUCACAUUUGCAUGGUA